rnacentral:lncRNA from 1 species
UACAACGUGGCGCGCUUUGAGCCAGUGAGGAUUUGUGAUCUGUGUGCUCCGCACUAAAUUCCAAUCCCUGGGAAAUGCUGGGCCUUGGCCCUGGCCCUGGCCGCGAUCUUUUUAAAGGCCUUGAAUUACAAGCUACCCACUCGUUUCAACCUCCCCACCAAACCAUCCCCCAAACCCCAGAAGCUAGGACUGUCAAAUCCACCUUCCUUGGGCUCCCCAGAGCAUUCCAGCAGCAUCCAAGAAGGGUAAGAGCUGAUUUCGCCCUACUGGUGUUUCAAGAUUGAGGUUUUAAAGAGAUAAAGUAUUUGUGAAAUGGGAAAAAGGAGCAAACAUAGGAU